rnacentral:lncRNA from 1 species
GGCUCAGCUGUGAUCACUGAGGUGGCUGCUGACCCUUGCCCUCAAAUGGGCUGCGUGCCAAGGGCUCAUCUGUCCCUUCAGGGCAGAGGGGCCAACAGGAAGCCGCUCUGGACAAGGAGGCACCAGUGUCUAACACACUGCCCUCGGCACCUGUAGCAUUCUGCAAAUGCUAUCCAGCACUCCUCGAAUUUAGCACCACACAGGACUGUAAAAGGCAGGACCCCAUGCAACAAUAUUCACUCUUCAACAUAUUUAGAUCCAUGGAAACACACACAGCCCCACACAGUGUGCAUACAAACAUACAUACAGCAUGACACAACAUACCCACACUUACAUACUUCCUCAAACACAGCACCAAAGCAAUCCAGGACACUUUGCCUCUGUGCAAAAUUUGUACAUUGAGGCCAGGAGAUUUAGCUCAGUGGCACCCACACCUGCCUCACAAGUGCAAGGUCCUGAGUUCGAUCCCCACUACCAGAAAAAAAAACCUUGCACAUCAAAGUGUGCACAUGCACACACACAGACACACCUGCCCUCAUAGGCACAGAAACCUGGGAUCACCAGUCAUGGCAGCAGUGUCCAGUGAUACUCUCUUGAGAAACCCCAAGUUGAGGCCAGGGACAAGCUUCCUGGGGCAGAGUCACCCUGAAAACCUCUGCUGCCUGCAGUCCCUCUGAACAAGAUUUGCCCAAUACUAAGGGAAAUGAGAGGAAAAACACUGUCAAGACAAAAAGGAGCCCAUAAGGUCGAGGUCAAAGUCAAAGAGUCGAUUCCUCUGGGACAGCAUCCGAGAAAGACAGUUCUAUAGUCUGAACCACAUGAAACUCUGGUCCUGGCCGAGGCUGGUCUUGACCACAGAGUUUUCAGUUGGUCCUAAAAACAUUUACAGCAACUCUGCUUCCCAAGGAAACGAACCUCCAAAGAGGGGCAGUCACCUGCCCCAGGUCAUGCAGCAAAUCAAAGGCAGACCUGUAGCUAGAAUACAGUCUCCUGCCUCCUGGCCCAGCGUCUUUAGAUCUUAGCAAAAGGUGACAGUUUGAAGCCACACUUUGAAGGAAAGAGAGG